AUGCAAGUCGAGGGGCAGCAUGAAGUAGCAAUACUUUGAUGGCGACCGGCAAACGGGUGCGGAACACGUACACAACCUUCCUUUAAGUGGGGAAUAGCCCAGAGAAAUUUGGAUUAAUACCCCGUAACAUUGCGAUGUGGCAUCACAUUGCAAUUAUAGCUUCGGCGCUUAAUGAUGGGUGUGCGUAUGAUUAGAUAGUUGGCGAGGUAACGGCUCACCAAGUCUACGAUCAUUAGCUGAUGUGAGAGCAUGAUCAGCCACACGGGCACUGAGACACGGGCCCGACUCCUACGGGAGGCAGCAGUAAGGAAUAUUGGUCAAUGGACGCAAGUCUGAACCAGCCAUGCCGCGUGAAGGAUUAAGGUCCUCUGGAUUGUAAACUUCUUUUAUAAGGGACGAAAAACAGACCUUUCUAGGUCUUUUGACGGUACCAUAUGAUUAAGCACCGG
rnacentral:rRNA from 1 species